ACUAUAUUCGGGGUGCCGUCGCGAGACGGCUAUGGUGAUAAACGGACAUCGGAAUAAGCCUUUCGGACCCGGGGGCAGUACCCGGCGCCUCCACCCGAAACCACCGCGCCGCGCGACACGGCGGCUGGUUUCCGGCGGGGGCGAAAUAGGAUCGACGAGGGUGUAAAGGGUGCUCUUUUGCCCGGCAUGGUUCCGCCGUUAUCGGGCCGAACAUAUAGUUGCCAACGACAACUAUGCUCCGGUUGCGGUGGCCGCGUAAGCGGUCUCUAAAGCCGAAACAAAGCCCUUGCGGGUAGCACCGUAAGGCGGGGUUCGGAGGUACCUGGCAACAGAAACCUCCA
rnacentral:tmRNA from 1 species